rnacentral:rRNA from 1 species
CUCCCAGACUCCUACGGGAGGCAGCAGUCGGGAAUAUUGCGCAAUGGAGGAAACUCUGACGCAGUGACGCCGCGUAUAGGAAGAAGGUUUUCGGAUUGUAAACUAUUGUCGUUAGGGAAGAUAAAAGACUGUACCUAAGGAGGAAGCCCCGGCUAACUACGUGCCAGCAGCCGCGGUAAUACGUAGGGGGCGAGCGUUAUCCGGAUUUACUGGGUGUAAAGGGAGCGUAGACGGCUGGUCAAGUCUGAAGUGAAAGCCCGGGGCUUAACCCCGGAACGGCUUUGGAAACUGAGCAGCUAGAGUGCUGGAGAGGUAAGCGGAAUUCCUAGUGUAGCGGUGAAAUGCGUAGAUAUUAGGAGGAACACCAGUGGCGAAGGCGGCUUACUGGACAGUAACUGACGUUGAGGCUCGAAAGCGUGGGGAGCAAACAGGAUUAGAUACCCUAGUAA